AAUCAACGCUGGCGGCGUGCCUAACACAUGCAAGUCGAACGCGAAAGUGGAGCAAUCCAUGAGUAGAGUGGCAAACGGGUGAGUAACGCGUGGGUGACCUGCCUUCGAGUGGGGGAUAACGUUCCGAAAGGGACGCUAAUACCGCAUAACAUCCCGCCUUUUAAGAGGUGGACAUCAAAGCCUGGGACCGCAAGGCCAGGCGCUUGAAGAGGGGCCCGCGUCCGAUUAGCAGUUGGUGGGGUAACGGCUCACCAAGGCUCCGAUCGGUAUCCGGCCUGAGAGGGCGGACGGACACACUGGGACUGAGACACGGCCCAGACUCCUACGGGAGGCAGCAGUGGGGAAUUGUUCGCAAUGGGCGCAAGCCUGACGACGCAACGCCGCGUGGAGGAUGAAGAUACUUCGGGUCGUAAACUCCUUUCGAUCGAGACGAAUGGCCUCCGGGUGAACAAUCCGGAGGAGUGACGGUACCGAGAGAAGAAGCCCGGCUAACUCCGU
rnacentral:rRNA from 1 species